AUGCGACUGUGGCUCGAAUUGUUUUCUCUGUUUAACAACUGAUUUCUGGAGAGGAUACACGGAGAUACGUGUUGAAAUGGAUCACGAGACUUGGAGUUCCCACCUGGACUAUUUGCUGACCAUUCUUGGAUACUCGGUAGGGGUGGGAAGCUUGUGGAAAUUCCCGUACAUGUGUAUGAGAAAUGGCGGAGGGGCAAUGCUGUUACUAUACUUCGUGUUCACGAUUAUCUGCGCAAUUCCCUGUGUGUUUCUGGAGAUGGUGAUUGGUCAGUUCUCUCAGAGUGGACCAAUCAAAGUCUGGAACCUGUGUCCACCUUU